UACGUAGGGGGCAAGCGUUGUCCGGAUUUAUUGGGCGUAAAGAGCGUGUAGGCGGCCUGGAAGGUCAGCUGUGAAAACUCGAGGCUCAACCUCGAGACGUCGGUUGAAACCACCUGGCUAGAGUCCGGAAGAGGAGUGUGGAAUUCCCGGUGUAGCGGUGAAAUGCGCAGAUAUCAGGAGGAACACCGGUGGCGAAGGCGGGUCUCUGGGCCGAUGACUGACGCUGGAGGAGCGAAAGCGUCGGGGAGCGAACAGG
rnacentral:rRNA from 1 species